UUGCAGCCUUAUCACGGUGAAACACUGGUUCCUGUAUGAUCACUGAAGUUAAGCAACAUCAAACCUGGUCAGUACCUAGAUGGGCGACUGCUUUGGAAUACCAGGUGUUGUAAG